CAGCCGCCGCGGUAAUACGUAGGUGGCGAGCGUUGUCCGGACUUACUGGGUGUAAAGGGCGUGUAGGCGGGUAAGCAAGUCAGAUGUGAAAUACCGGGGCUCAACCCCGGGGCUGCAUUUGAAACUGUAUAUCUUGAGUGCAGGAGAGGGAAGCGGAAUUCCUAGUGUAGCGGUGAAAUGCGUAGAUAUUAGGAGGAACACCAGUGGCGAAGGCGGCUUCCUGGACUGUAACUGACGCUGAGGCGCGAAAGCGUGGGGAGCGAACAGGAUUAGAUACCCUGGUAGUCCACGCCGUAAACGAUGGAUACUAGGUGUAGGAGGUAUCGACCCCUUCUGUGCCGGAGUUAACACAAUAAGUAUCCCACCUGGGGAGUACGGCCGCAAGGUUGAAACUUAAAGGAAUUGGCGGG
rnacentral:rRNA from 1 species